rnacentral:rRNA from 1 species
GACGAACGCUGGCGGCGUGCCUAAUACAUGCAAGUCGAACGCAGUGGGGACGGGUGAGUAACACGUGGGUAACCUCCCAUCAGAGGGGAUAACACUUGGAAACAGGUGCUAAACCGAUACUGAUGGAUGGACCCGCGGUGCAUUAGCUAGUUGGUGGGGUAACGGCUCACCAAGGCCACGAUGCAUAGGCGACCUGAGAGGGGGAGCGGCCACACUGGGACUGAGACACGGCGCAGACUCCUACGGGAGGCAGCAGUAGGGAAUCUUCGGCAAUGGACGAAAGGCUGAACGAGCAACGCCGCGUGAGUGAAGAAGGUUUUCGGAUCAUAAAGCUCUGUUGUUAGAGAAGCGGUAUCUAACAAGAAAGCCACGGCUAACUACGUGCCAGCCGCCGCGGUAAUUC